CCAAUAGCGUAUAUUAAAGUUGUUGCAGUUGAAAAGCUCGUAGUUGAAUUUCGGGACCAAUCUGCCGGUCGUGCCUCCGGUACGCACUGGUUUUAUUGGUUUCUCCCUUCUGACGAACCAUGAUGUCAUUAAUUUGGUGUCAUGGGGAAUCAGGACUGUUACUUUGAAAAAAUUAGAGUGUUUAUAGCAGGCUCACGCUUGAAUACAUUAGCAUGGAAUAAUGAAAUAGGACGUUUGACCCUAUUUUGUUGGUUUCUAGGAUCGACGUAAUGAUUAAUAGGGAUAGUUGGGGGCAUUAGUAUUCAAUUGUCAGAGGUGAAAUUCUUGGAUUUAUUGAAGACUAACUACUGCGAAAGCAUUUGCCAAGGAUGUUUUCAUUAAUCAAGAACGAAAGUUAGGGGAUCGAAGACGAUCAGAUACCGUCGUAGUCUUAACCAUAAACUAUGCCGACUGGGGAUCGGAUGAUGUUAAUUUUUUAAUGACUCAUUCGGCGCCUUACG
rnacentral:misc_RNA from 1 species